rnacentral:rRNA from 1 species
GGGUUUCCGCCCUUCAGUGCUGCAGCAAACGCAUUAAGCACUCCGCCUGGGGAGUACGACCGCAAGGUUGAAACUCAAAGGAAUUGACGGGGGCCCGCACAAGCGGUGGAGCAUGUGGUUUAAUUCGAAGCAACGCGAAGAACCUUACCAGGUCUUGACAUCCUUUGACCACUCUAGAGAUAGAGCUUUCCCUUCGGGGACAAAGUGACAGGUGGUGCAUGGUUGUCGUCAGCUCGUGUCGUGAGAUGUUGGGUUAAGUCCCGCAACGAGCGCAACCCUUAUUGUUAGUUGCCAUCAUUUAGUUGGGCACUCUAGCGAGACUGCCGGUGACAAACCGGAGGAAGGUGGGGAUGACGUCAAAUCAUCAUGCCCCUUAUGACCUGGGCUACACACGUGCUACAAUGGGAAGUACAACGAGUCGCUAGACCGCGAGGUCAUGCAAAUCUCUUAAAGCUUCUCUCAGUUCGGAUUGCAGGCUGCAACUCGCCUGCAUGAAGCCGGAAUCGCUAGUAAUCGCGGAUCAGCACGCCGCGGUGAAUACGUUCCCGGGCCUUGUACACACCGCCCGUCACACCACGAGAGUUCGUGGCACCCGUAGUCGCUGAGUAGCCC